GGAAGGAUCAUUAACACGUAUCCACGUAACCUACCCAUAGUGAACUCGUUUUCAAGGCUCCCGUCGAGGUACAUGAGUUGGCAACCGAACAGAUUAAUAAAUGGGCCUCUAAAAAGGGCAGGUUUGUUCGUAAAAUACUGAGGUGAAGCUUUUGUUUCAUUUCGACGACUGUAGUACACGACGAUUAACCUAUCACCGACAUUCCCCAUUUUUGAACCACGUGAUAGACAUACUAACUAUAAUCACCCCCUUUUUGCUAGUUGACUUUAUUUAUGUUAAAAUUUGUAGAAGGAUUAAUUUCCCUUUGCAAGUCUUACACGUUUAAUUAUUUAAACGAUAGAACAACUCUUAGCAAUGGAUAUCUUGGUUCUCGCAACGAUGAAGAACGCAGCGAAAUGCGAUACGUAAUGCGAAUUGCAGAAUUCAGUGAAUCAUCAAAUCUUUGAACGCAAAUUGCGCUCUUGGGUAGCCCUAGGAGCACGCCUCUCUCAGUAUCGGUUCAACAACCUCUCAGCAGCGUCUUUUGGUUUACGCCUUAAGUCGUGUCGGCUGGAUAAUGAGAGUCUGAAUGCUUGCAUUUAGUCUCUUUAAAUAUAUUGAGUGAACAUUUAUAACUUACAGGCUUGAAUAGUAAAAUAUUCAAUAGCAGUCUCUGACUGUUGCUCUGCUAGUAACGUGAAUACUGGCCCUUGUGGUCUUUUCUACGUCUAUCUGGAAUUGUGACAUUAAAGUUGGUGGAUUGUGAACGGUAAAUUAUUGUGUUCACGUAUCGUGUGCAAACACAAUCGGCUAUUUAGAAUUAAUUUUUUAGAUGGUCUGAAUUUUGAUCUGAGAUGAAGCGAGACAACCCCCUGAAUUUAAGCAUAUUAAUAAGGGGAGGAAAAGAAACUAACAAGGAUUCCCCCAGUAACGGCGAGUGAAGCGGGAAGAGCUCAAUUUGAAAAUCGAUUACCUAAGCGGGUCAUCGAAUUGUAGCCUAGAGACGUACUAUCAGCUGAAACCUGGGUAUAAGUUCUUUGGAAUGAGGCAUCAUAGAGGGUGAGAAUCCCGUAUAUGACCCAAAGCUUUCAGCGUACGAUGUAUGUUCUUCGAGUCGAGUUGUUUGGGAUUGCAGCUCUAAAUGGGUCGUAAGUUUGAUCUAAAGCUAAAUAAUGGCGAGAGACCGAUAGCGAACAAGUACCGUGAGGGAAAGAUGAAAAGAACUUUGAAAAGAGAGUUAAAAGUACUUGAAAUUGCUAAGAGGGAAGCGCUGACAACCAGUGAUAUGCGACGUCCAUCGCUUUCAGCUCCACUAGAUGUCGUUUGUAGUUGGAAACUCUACUUGCGGCCUCGAAAGGGAAGUUGGGAGUUUAGGAUACUGCGUCAGUCAAGAUCCAUUCGAAUUGUGGGAGAAGGUAGGGGGAAAGGUAGGACACUCCGGUGUCUGUUAUAGUCCCCUUACUCUACCUCGGCUUGGAUGGAGGAAGUAAUAGUGCGCUGCUUGCGGCUUAGUCCUGUGCUCCUAGUGUCCCAGCUGCCUUGAUAGCAAUGCUAUCCUGGUGGUAAACGGCUCUACUGGGUAUAGUGACUCUUUGUGCUAUCACGAUCUUGUACGAAAUGGUUGUCAUCGACCCGUCUUGAAACACGGACCAAGGAGUCUAACAUCUAUGCGAGUAUUUGAGUGAAAAACUCUGAUGCGCAAUGAAAGUAAAGGCAGCUUCGGCUGCUGAGGUAGGAAUCCGGUCAAACGGAGGCACUAUCGACCGAUCAUCACUUGUGAAAGAUUUGAGUAAGAGCAUAUCUGUUGGGACCCGAAAGAUGGUGAUCUAUGCCUGAACAGGGUGAAGCCAGGGGAAACUCUGGUGGAGGCUCGUAGCGAUACUGACGUGCAAAUCGUUCGUCUGAUUUGGGUAUAGGGGCGAAAGACUAAUCGAACCAUCUAGUAGCUGGUUCCCUC
rnacentral:misc_RNA from 1 species